UCCAGAUAAACAAGUAUACGACACUGUGAAAAAAUACUCGAACUUUAUUGUCACCAAGGUUCCAGAAAUCGAGUUUGAUAAAGAAAUUAUAAAACUCAUACCAUCAAACUCUUGUAAAUAUAAAAGUAGUACUUUAAAAUUAAAAGUGUAUUAGACACAAGUGAUCAAUUUUUAUUAUAUAAAAUUACUUAAGUUCUGUUAAUGAUUUUAAAGUAUUUAAGCAAAAGAAUAGAAGCACAUAAAAUAAUUCAAGUUAAAUCUAUUGAAUGUUCUAAGUAUUCGCUGUGGUGGAACAAAUUGAUACUAGGAGAGUAUCCACCAUUAAAUACUCCAAUUACAUCAUAUAUAUGGAAUUAUUUCAAUUCACCAAAAAAAAAAAAAAAUUUAAAAGAUCCAAAUAAGUUAGUCAAGAAAAAAUUAGACGUGGUUAAUAUAAGUAAGAAAAAUAAAAUAAAUGAAUCUUCAGAAAAAAUAGAUUUUAAGUAUGUAUGCCGAAAUUCUAUGGUUCCGACUGGUAUUCAUCAAUUUGAGUCCACAAUCAAUACUAGCGAUAAGUAAAUUUGUAGAAAAUAAUUAUUUUUUAAGUGAAAUUUAUGGUCACAUGUAAAUCAUAGUCAUAAAAAUCAAGAAACACAAAGAUUAAGAGAAAUAAAAUUAUUUCAACAAAUGGCUCUACGUUUGACGGCUAACAUAAAUAAAGUAAACAGCUUAGCCGAUGCCUACGAUUUACCCAUAUGUCAUCUUAAUCCUAAUGGUGGAUACUAUAAUGGUCUACAAUCAAAAAUAUUAAAAGUAAACGAAACAAAAAAAAAUUCUUCUUCAUCCUCAAGUUUCAAUAAAUUAAAAAGUAUUUUUGUAAUUGCGAAUGCUAUAAAUACCUUCUUUUACUUUAUGAAUUUUUUUAGAUUCGAUAAAAACAAAGAAAAAUUGUUUCAAACUUAAAUUUUCAUAAAUAGUUUGAACGAAGUUUUGUUUAAUUGCUAAUAUAUAUGAAUAAAAUUGUAAAUUAUCUGAAUUCAGUAAAAAUUAUAAUAAUAAAUCUGUUUAUUUUCAUUUUUAU